ACUGCUCAGUAACACGUAGUCAACAUGCCCAGGGGACGUGGAUAACCUCGGGAAACUGAGGAUAAACCGCGAUAGGUCAUCACUUCUGGAAUGGGUAAUGACUUAAAUCUAUAUGGCCCCUGGAUUGGACUGCGGCCGAUCAGGCUGUUGGUGAGGUAAUGGCCCACCAAACCUGUAACCGGUACGGGCUCUGAGAGGAGGAGCCCGGAGAUGGGCACUGAGACAAGGGCCCAGGCCCUAUGGGGCGCAGCAGGCGCGAAACCUCUGCAAUAGGCGAAAGCUUGACAGGGUUACUCUGAGUGAUUUCCGUUAAGGAGAUCUUUUGGCACCUCUAAAAAUGGUGCAUAAUAAAGGGUGGGCGAGUCUGGUGUCAUCCGCCACGCCACUACUAACACCCCGCCUGGUCUGGACAUGAAGAGUACCGAACCUAACCCAUCCUUAUCUUGUUUUUCUAUUUUUCGUUUAAUUCCUUUCCCUAAUCGAAUGCGCUGCUAGGAAUGCUGCUAAACUACGAAGUGGGAGAAGAUGACAGCACUCCUUAGGAAGUAGUAAUAUCAUUUGAUCUAUUGAUGACCACCACUGGCGAAGGCGGCCUAUCACAACACAUUCACACGGUGAGGGAUGAAAGAUGGCAGAAGCAACCAGAUUAAAUACACACCCAGUCCCAGCUAUACAGCAAACAAUCCCAACUAUGCAAUGAAUUAGGCCCCAUGCCGUUCAGCCGCCGAAGCCGAAGACUUUGACUCCGCCGAGGUACGUAGUCCAGUAUGAAAAACUGAAAAUAGGGAAUGAGCGCA
rnacentral:rRNA from 1 species